GGUGGGGUGGUGUGGAACUGCUAAUCCCGUUGGGCAUAGCCCAACUCGGGUUCAAAUCCCGACCCCCGCG
rnacentral:tRNA from 1 species